UAACACGUGGGUAACCUGCCUGUAAGACUGGGAUAACUCCGGGAAACCGGGGCUAAUACCGGAUGGUUGUCUGAACCGCAUGGUUCAGACAUAAAAGGUGGCUUCGGCUACCACUUACAGAUGGACCCGCGGCGCAUUAGCUAGUUGGUGAGGUAACGGCUCACCAAGGCGACGAUGCGUAGCCGACCUGAGAGGGUGAUCGGCCACACUGGGACUGAGACACGGCCCAGACUCCUACGGGAGGCAGCAGUAGGGAAUCUUCCGCAAUGGACGAAAGUCUGACGGAGCAACGCCGCGUGAGUGAUGAAGGUUUUCGGAUCGUAAAGCUCUGUUGUUAGGGAAGAACAAGUGCCGUUCAAAUAGGGCGGCACCUUGACGGUACCUAACCAGAAAGCCACGGCUAACUACGUGCCAGCAGCCGCGGUAAUACGUAGGUGGCAAGCGUUGUCCGGAAUUAUUGGGCGUAAAGGGCUCGCAGGCGGUUUCUUAAGUCUGAUGUGAAAGCCCCCGGCUCAACCGGGGAGGGUCAUUGGAAACUGGGGAACUUGAGUGCAGAAGAGGAGAGUGGAAUUCCACGUGUAGCGGUGAAAUGCGUAGAGAUGUGGAGGAACACCAGUGGCGAAGGCGACUCUCUGGUCUGUAACUGACGCUGAGGAGCGAAAGCGUGGGGAGCGAACAGGAUUAGAUACCCUGGUAGUCCACGCCGUAAACGAUGAGUGCUAAGUGUUAGGGGGUUUCCGCCCCUUAGUGCUGCAGCUAACGCAUUAAGCACUCCGCCUGGGGAGUACGGUCGCAAGACUGAAACUCAAAGGAAUUGACGGGGGCCCGCACAAGCGGUGGAGCAUGUGGUUUAAUUCGAAGCAACGCGAAGAACCUUACCAGGUCUUGACAUCCUCUGACAAUCCUAGAGAUAGGACGUCCCCUUCGGGGGCAGAGUGACAGGUGGUGCAUGGUUGUCGUCAGCUCGUGUCGUGAGAUGUUGGGUUAAGUCCCGCAACGAGCGCAACCCUUGAUCUUAGUUGCCAGCAUUCAGUUGGGCACUCUAAGGUGACUGCCGGUGACAAACCGGAGGAAGGUGGGGAUGACGUCAAAUCAUCAUGCCCCUUAUGACCUGGGCUACACACGUGCUACAAUGGACAGAACAAAGGGCAGCGAAACCGCGAGGUUAAGCCAAUCCCACAAAUCUGUUCUCAGUUCGGAU
rnacentral:rRNA from 1 species